UGGGGAAUCUUGGACAAUGGGGGCAACCCUGAUCCAGCCAUGCCGCGUGAGUGAUGAAGGCCUUAGGGUCGUAAAGCUCUUUCGCCUGUGAAGAUAAUGACGGUAGCAGGUAAAGAAACCCCGGCUAACUCCGUGCCAGCAGCCGCGGUAAUACGGAGGGGGUUAGCGUUGUUCGGAAUUACUGGGCGUAAAGCGCACGUAGGCGGACCAGAAAGUUGGGGGUGAAAUCCCGGGGGCUCAACCCCGGAACUGCCUCCAAAACUAUUGGUCUAGAGUUCGAGAGAGGUGAGUGGAAUUCCAAGUGUAGAGGUGAAAUUCGUAGAUAUUUGGAGGAACACCAGUGGCGAAGGCGGCUCACUGGCUCGAUACUGACGCUGAGGUGCGAAAGUGUGGGGAGCAAACAGGAUUAGAUACCCUGGUAGUCCACACCGUAAAACGAUGAAUGCCAGUCGUCGGGUAGCAUGCUAUUCGGUGACACACCUAACGGAUUAAGCAUUCCGCCUGGGGAGUACGGUCGCAAGAUUAAAACUCAAAUGAAUUG
rnacentral:rRNA from 1 species